AACAGCUUGGUGUAAUGGUGCACACUGGAGUUAUAACAUGACGUGUAGAAUCUCCGGAGGGGUCGGUUCGAUUCCGGCAGCUGUAA